GACGAACGCUGGCGGCGUGCCUAAUACAUGCAAGUCGAGCGGACGUUUUCUUGGUGCUUGCACCGAGAUAACGUUAGCGGCGGACGGGUGAGUAACACGUGGGUAACCUGCCCUACAGACUGGGAUAACUUCGGGAAACCGGAGCUAAUACCGGAUAAUACUUUUGAACUCAUGUUCGGGAGUUGAAAGAUGGUUUCGGCUAUCACUGUAGGAUGGACCCGCGGCGCAUUAGCUAGUUGGUGAGGUAACGGCUCACCAAGGCGACGAUGCGUAGCCGACCUGAGAGGGUGAUCGGCCACACUGGGACUGAGACACGGCCCAG
rnacentral:rRNA from 1 species